rnacentral:rRNA from 2 species
UGCAUAGCACAUGCAAGUCGAACGAUGAAACUUAAAUGAUCUCUUCGGAGUGACCUUAAGUGGAUUAGUGGCGGACGGGUGAGUAACGCGUGAGUAACCUGCCUUGCACAAGGGGAUAGCCGUUGGAAACGACGAAUAAUACCCUAUGAUAUAAACUCUUCGCAUGAAGAGCUUAUCAAAGAUUUAUCGGUGUAAGAUGGACUCGCGUCUGAUUAGCUAGUUGGUGGGGUAAAAGCCUACCAAGGCAACGAUCAGUAGCCGGCUUGAGAGAGUGUACGGCCGCAUUGGGACUGAGACACGGCCCAGACUCCUACGGGAGGCAGCAGUGGGGAAUUUUGCACAAUGGGGGCAACCCUGAUGCAGCGACGCCGCGUGAUUUAGAAGGCCUUCGGGUUGUAAAAAUCUUUUGUAUGGGAAGAAAAUGACAGUACCAUACGAAUAAGGACCGGCUAAUUACGUGCCAGCCGCCGCGGUAA